UAAAGAAAAUAGGGGCUCACUACUCAUCUUCUUCGUCACCCCUUUGUCUCUCUCCCUUUCAAAAACUCAGCCACCUUCUCCUUCACAACCUGUAACCACCUCCACCACCACCUUCGCCGCUAUCUGAUCAACACCACUUUCACAAACCACCUCCACAUCUCCACCUUCACAAACCACCAUCACCUUCACAAAAGCGGGUAUUAUUUCUGUUUCCCGACUCGAUUUCUACUGUACUAUUUUCCCAACCUCCUCAAUUUCUGCUCUUAUGCUUCUACAAUGAGUGGUUCUUUAUGGGUAUAUUUUAUGCCUUCACCCACCAACACUUUUUGGUUUAUCUCUUUUAGAUGCUGAGGUUUGGAGCUCUGUUACCCGCCGUCACCUCCUCAACCGCCGUUAUCAGCCGCACAUCUCCGGCAAUAACUUUUCACUUCCGGUCAACCGACGCCGCUUCUCUUCAAAACAAUAAUUUUUGCUUUCAACAGAUUGUAAGCUAUUCAUCCCGAGUGAAUUGUUAUUGAAAUAAGGCAACGGCAGAAGCUGCUGAAACGAUGGCUGGUUCUGUAGCAGUUUGAUACAUCACAGGCCAGCCCAGAUGAAGAACCGGCCCAGCUGCAAGCCAACAUGAACGAGAGGCCCAAGAGGGAGUCCAAAAGACCCAGUCGUUACAACAACUAGCUGCACUCCACGUUUCCAUUUUCCAAUUCAAUUCAGCAUGUUUAUUUAAUAUUUUAACUUAGUGUUGCAUGUUUAGUUUUACUGCAUUUAGGAAGUGGUCCAUGUUCUACAUGACCUCCAUGAAAUAAGGGAACAUGGGUGAUGAACCCUACUGCAUGUUUAAAUACCUCUUUUUGCAUUGAGUAAAACAUUCGAAAAUUGCCCCAAA